rnacentral:rRNA from 1 species
GACGAACCGUACGAACGUUAUUCGGAAUCACUGGGCUUAAAGGGUGCGUAGGCGGCGCGACAAGUUGGGUGUGAAAUCCCUCGGCUCAACCGAGGAACUGCGCCCAAAACUGUCGUGCUCGAGGGAGACAGAGGUGAGCGGAACUUAGGGUGGAGCGGUGAAAUGCGCUGAUAUCCUAAGGAACACCGGUGGCGAAAGCGGCUCACUGGGUCUCUUCUGACGCUGAGGCACGAAAGCUAGGGUAGCGAACGGG